rfam:Felis catus isolate Cinnamon breed Abyssinian chromosome A2, whole genome shotgun sequence.
GCCUGGGUGGCUCAGUCGGUGGAGUGUUCGACUUUGGAUCAAGUCAUGAUCUCACAGUUCGUGAGUUCGAGCCCCACGUCAGGCU